GCAUCGAUGRAGAACGCAGCGAAAUGCGAUACUUGGUGUKAAUUGCAGAAUCCCGUGAACCAUCGAGUCUUUGAACGCAAGUUGCGCCCUAAGCCGUCAGGCCGAGGGCACGUCUGCCUGGGUGUCACGCAUCGUUGCCCCACCCCGCCCCCUCUCCGGGGGCACGGCGGUGCGGGCGGAGAAUGGCCUCCCGUGCGCUCCCGCUCGCGGUUGGCCCAAAUUCGAGUCCUCGGCGACCGGAGCCGCGACGAUCGGUGGUGCAAGCAAAUGCCUCUCGAGCUCACGUCGCGCGCCCCGCGUCUCCAUACGGGGACUCAGGGACCCUGACGCUCCGCGCAAGCGGGGCUCGCACCGCGACCCCAGGUCAGGCGGGAUUACCCGCUGAGUUUAAGC
rnacentral:sRNA from 1 species